UACGAAGGGUGCAAACGUUGCUCGGAAUUAUUGGGCGUAAAGCGCACGUAGGCGGCUUUGCAAGUCCCAUGUGAAAUCCCACGGCUCAACCGUGGAAGUGCAUGGGAAACUGCAGAGCUUGAGUACUUAAGAGGAUCGCGGAAUUCCCGGUGUAGAGGUGAAAUUCGUAGAUAUCGAGAGGAACACCGGUGGCGAAGGCGGCGAUCUGGACGAUGACUGACGCUGAGACGCGAAAGCGUGGGGAGCAAACAGG
rnacentral:rRNA from 1 species